GCCCUUGUCGGGAUGAUUCUUGAUGGCAGCUUUUUUAUAAGCCUUCUUCAAGUCCUCAGCGGAAGCGUUCUUGGACACCCCCAGGAUCUCAUAGUACCUCGUAUUAUUGCUCUUCUUCGGUGCUCUUCCAAACAUCUUCUUUUGAGUUCCUUAACAAGAAUCAACAGUUUUCUUAACAAGAAUCAACAGAAACGAAACAGACCCAGAAAAUUCUUUUUCUCGCGGAGAACGCUACAGAAGAGUCCCCAAAAGCCGAGGAAUAUAACCUGGUUCACAACUUGAAGCAAUUGUUGAGUUGGGGGUAUAUUUAUAGGAGUAUUAAUAACGAUGGACGGUUGAGAUUUUUUCCUAGUCGGCUGUGAAUGUGAGCUUUGUUAAGAAGGGUCUAGAAUUCCCUCUCUCCUUCGGACACCCAAUAAAAAUGGAAAAAAAAAGGUGAUAAAUAAAUAUCUACGUUUAGGGUUCGUUGGAUGAUAAAUUUGACGGUGGGGAUUUUGUUCUAGAGUCUUCUCUCGAUGCCCCUCUUUUACGUCAUAAAUACGGUUUGUCUUUUGAAAGAGGAAAUGGGGGUAGAAAUAUCCAAAUACGAACAGAAUUUGGCAAUGCUUUCCGAAUUUUUAUACAUAUUUGAUUGACUUUAAAAGACCAUAAUCUCAUCGAAAUAUAGUUAAAUUAAUUGAAAUUAAUCUCAUGGAAACAAAACACUUGAUUAUUUUAAAUAAUUGGUGAGGUUUAGAUUAUAAUUUCUUGAAAUGCAAAAUUUAUUAUAAAUAUGAAGGUAACCCAAUUAGUAAAAUGAAGAUACGUCCGUAACAUACCACUAAGUGCUUAAAGACGUUCAAUUAAAGUAUACACGGCUAAAGACCAAGCCAUGAAUUCACCGUAAAAUAUAGUUAUUUUUCCUUUUUUGGGGAAUGAUUACGAUUUAC
rnacentral:lncRNA from 1 species